rnacentral:rRNA from 1 species
AUUGAACGCUGGCGGCAGGCUUAACACAUGCAAGUCGAGCGGAGUGAUGGUGCUUGCACUAUCACUUAGCGGCGGACGGGUGAGUAAUGCUUAGGAAUCUGCCAUUUAGUGGGGGACAACAUUCCGAAAGGAAUGCUAAUACCGCAUACGUCCUACGGGAGAAAGCAGGGGAUCUUCGGACCUUGCGCUAAAUGAUGAGCCUAAGUCGGAUUAGCUAGUUGGUGGGGUAAAGGCCUACCAAGGCGACGAUCUGUAGCGGGUCUGAGAGGAUGAUCCGCCACACUGGGACGGAGACACGGCCCAGACUCCGACGGGAGGCAGCAGUGGGGAAUAUUGGACAAUGGGCGGAAGCCUGAUCCAGCCAUGCCGCGUGUGUGAAGAAGGCCUUUUGGUUGUAAAGCACUUUAAGCGAGGAGGAGGCUCUCCUAGUUAAUACCUAGGAAGAGUGGACGUUACUCGCAGAAUAAGCACCGGCUAACUCUGUGCCAGCAGCCGCGGUAAGAC